AGCUUUGAGCAAUGGCAGUAUCAUACAUAGCCCAUGAGGUUUAUCUGAGGCGUGAUUACUGCUAAUUGAAAUUGAAUCUUGAAAGCAUGUUUAUAUCAUUAAUAUUUUUCAGUGUUAUUUUAGAAGCCAGGCAUAAACA
ensembl:snRNA LOC120097640 U4 spliceosomal RNA